CCAGAUUAAAGAAAAUUUAUGUAUACAUAGUGUGAAAAUAUAUAAACAAAACAAAAAAUUUUAAAACCGCAAGUGCUAUGCAUGUAAGAACAAGCAUUCAUACAGCUCUGAUGUCCAUGGAGCUGAUAUAGAAACUGGACGUUCUAGCAUGCACCAAGACAUUCUCCUCACCAUUUCUCCAUCCUGUGGCAAGGGUGGCCCCGUUGAUUCACCAAAUAAUUAGUCAUGGCAUGCUUCUGCCUGAAAUACUAGUCGGGGAAAUAGUGACCAUAAAAUGGCUCGUUUUCCAUCAUUUGACCAUGCCCAUAUCCUUGGGGGAACAAGGAUGUUAAUGUCACUCAUUUGGUUUGAUUGAUGUGGAUAGUUCUAAUAGGGGCUUGCAAUUGCCAUAUGUAAUCCUGUAAUUACAUUUGUAGUGAUAGAUCAAUAUAUGUAAAUCAUCAUAAGAAAUAUUUGAAAUAAAUUUUGUAAAAUUACAGUACUGGACUGAAUUCUGGUUUUCACCUAUUUUGAAAUUUAUGAGAUUUCUCGAGGAGUUUGCUUCUCAAUUUCUGGCAUUGGAGAUUGGGCACGACUGUAUGAUGUUUUGGAGCAUUUUCUUCAUUGUUUGCUGCAUAAUAAGCCAGAACAAAUUACAUACAACAAAUGGUUUUUAUAAUUAAUAUCAAUGAAUAACACUACAAUCCUUAUACCUAUACAAUUCGUGUAUUCUAGGAGAAAA
rnacentral:lncRNA from 1 species